rnacentral:rRNA from 1 species
AAAAAAGGUAAGCUACUAAGAGCGAAUGGUGGAUGCCUUGACUGGUAAAGGCGAUGAAGGACGUACUAGACUGCGAUAAGCUACGGGGAGCUGUCAAGAAGCUUUGAUCCGUAGAUUUCCGAAUGGGGCAACCCAAUGUAUAGAGAUAUACAUUACCUAUAUAGGAGCGAACGAGGGGAAUUGAAACAUCUUAGUACCCUCAGGAAAAGAAAUCAAUAGAGAUUGCGUCAGUAGCGGCGAGCGAAAGCGCAAGAGGGCAAACCCAGUGCUUGCACUGGGGGUUGUAGGACUGUAAUGUGCAAGAGGUAAGUUUAGCAGAACAUUCUGGAAAGUAUAACCAUAGAGGGUGAUAGUCCCGUAUGCGAAAAACAAACCUUAGCUAGCAGUAUCCUGAGUAGGGCGGGACACGAGGAAUCCUGUCUGAAUCCGGGUCGACCACGAUCCAACCCUAAAUACUAAUACCAGAUCGAUAGUGCACAAGUACCGUGAGGGAAAGGUGAAAAGAACUGAGGUGAUCAGAGUGAAAUAGAACCUGAAACCAUUUGCUUACAAUCAUUCAGAGCCUUAUGUAGCAAUACAGGGUGAUGGACUGCCUUUUGCAUAAUGAGCCUGCGAGUUGUGGUGUCUGGCAAGGUUAAGCAAACGCGAAGCCGUAGCGAAAGCGAGUCUGAAUAGGGCGCUUAGUCAGAUGCUGCAGACCCGAAACGAAGUGAUCUAUCCAUGAGCAAGUUGAAGCUAGUGUAAGAACUAGUGGAGGACUGAACCCAUAGGCGUUGAAAAGCCCCGGGAUGACUUGUGGAUAGGGGUGAAAGGCCAAUCAAACUUCGUGAUAGCUGGUUCUCUCCGAAAUAUAUUUAGGUAUAGCGUUGUGUCGUAAUAUAAGGGGGUAGAGCACUGAAUGGGCUAGGGCAUACACCAAUGUACCAAACCCUAUCAAACUCCGAAUACCUUAUAUGUAAUCACAGCAGUCAGGCGGCGAGUGAUAAAAUCCGUCGUCAAGAGGGAAACAACCCAGACUACCAGCUAAGGUCCCUAAAUCUUACUUAAGUGGAAAACGAUGUGAAGUUACUUAAACAACCAGGAGGUUGGCUUAGAAGCAGCCAUCCUUUAAAGAAAGCGUAAUAGCUCACUGGUCUAGUGAUUUUGCGCGGAAAAUAUAACGGGGCUAAAGUAAGUACCGAAGCUGUAGA